rnacentral:tRNA from 1 species
GCAGCGAUGGCGGAACUGGUAGACGCGUACGUUUGAGGGGCGUAUGGAGCAAUCCGUGUGAGUUCGAUUCUCAUUCGCUGCACCA